rnacentral:rRNA from 1 species
GAUGAACGCUGGCGGCGUGCCUAAUACAUGCAAGUCGAGCGAAGCGGGGACGGGUGAGUAACACGUGGAUAACCUCCUAUAAGACUGGGAUAACUUCGGGAAACCGGAGCUAAACCGGAUGAUUAUAGAUGGAUACGAGCUGCAUUAGCUAGUAGGUGGGGUAACGGCUCACCUAGGCGACGAUCCCUAGCUGGUCUGAUAUGAUGACCAGCCCCACGGGGACGUAGACACGGUCCAGACUCCUACGGGAGUCAGCAGUAGGGAAUCUUCCGCAAUGGACGAAAGUCUGACGGAGAAACGCCGCGUGAGUGAUGAAGGUCUGCGGAUCGUAAAACUCUGUUAUUAGAGAAGCGGUACCUAAUCAGAAAGCCACGGCUAACUCCGUGCCAGCAGCCGCGGUAAUAC